UUGCCCGAAGAUAAAGCGCCUGGACCAGACGGUUACAUCGGAUCCUUCUUCAAGUCUUGCUAGGAAAUUAUUAAAGUAGACAUGAUGACCGCAAUCAACUCCUUCUCAAAUAUGCAAACAGCUAACUUGCACUGGCUCAUCUUGGCAAAUAUAGUGUUGCAUCCAAAGAAGGAUGGGGCCAAAGAUAUCGUGGAUUUCCACCCAAUCAACCCGAUUCACGCCUUCUCUAAGAUCAUCGCCAAGAUCAUGGCCAAUCGUUGGGAUCCAUUCAUGAGUGGUCUGGUCUCCGAGGAUCAGAGCGCUUUUAUCAAGACUAGAAGCAUCCACGAUAAUUUCAUGUUCAUUCGUGGGUUUACUAGACGUCUGCACCAGAAAAAAAACGCCGGCCCUCCUCCUCAAGCUAGAUAUCAAGAAGGCUUUCGACUCGGCUCAUUGGAACUACCUCCUAGACUUGUUCCAACGCCAGGGAUUCCCUGCCGGAUUCAAAAACUAGGUGGCUGCUUUAUGGCUCCGUCCUCCUCGCGAUUUCUUCUUAACCGGGUCCUAGGGGACCCGAUAAAGUUGGGUAAGGGACUGUAG
rnacentral:rRNA from 1 species